rnacentral:tRNA from 1 species
GCGAGACAGAACGGUACGUAGCGACACGUCACGAUACGUGACCAUGGAACUUCUAAUCCGAUGGCCGCAGGUUCGAAUCCUGCCGGGUGCGCCA